AACGGCGAGUGAAGCGGCAAGAGCUCAAAUUUGAAAGCUGGCUCCUUCGGGGUCCGCAUUGUAAUUUGCAGAGGAUGCUUCGGGUGCAGCCCCCGUCUAAGUGCCCUGGAACGGGCCGUCAUAGAGGGUGAGAAUCCCGUAUGGGGCGGGGUGUCUGCGUCCGUGUGAAGCUCCUUCGACGAGUCGAGUUGUUUGGGAAUGCAGCUCUAAAUGGGUGGUAAAUUUCAUCUAAAGCUAAAUACUGGCCGGAGACCGAUAGCGCACAAGUAGAGUGAUCGAAAGAUGAAAAGCACUUUGAAAAGAGAGUUAAACAGCACGUGAAAUUGUUGAAAGGGAAGCGCUUGCAACCAGACUCGCUCGCGGGGUUCAGCCGGGCUUCGGCCCGGUGUACUUCCCCGCGGGCGGGCCAGCGUCGGUUUGGGCGGCCGGUCAAAGGCCUCCGGAAUGUAGCGCCCUUCGGGGCGCCUUAUAGCCGGGGGUGCAAUGCGGCCAGCCUGGACCGAGGAACGCGCUUCGGCACGGACGCUGGCAUAAUGGUUGUAAACGACCC
rnacentral:rRNA from 1 species